ACACUUGAAAGGAAGCUCCUGAUAAUUGGAGGGGCUAUGCCAACUUAUGAUUGCAGGGGUAUGCUCUUACAAAGGAAAGGGACACGCUUCGGCGGGAGCAGAAUAAGAAAAGUGAUGCAGCUGCUCUUCUGAAGGAAAAGGAUGAAAUAAUUAAUCAAGUUAUGGCUGAAGGUGAAGAGCUUUCAAAAAAGCAGGCUGCUCAAGAAGGACAGAUUAGGAAAUUAAGGGCUCAGAUCAGAGAGUUUGAAGAAGAGAAGAAAGGGUUGAUUACUAAACUUCAGG